UGUUUCGGCUAGGGGGCCAUCCCGGCUUACCAACCCGAUGCAAACUGCGAAUACCGGAGAAUGUUAUCACGGGAGACACACGGCGGGUGCUAACGUCCGUCGUGAAGAGGGAAACAACCCAGACCGCCAGCUAAGGUCCCAAAGUCAUGGUUAAGUGGGAAACGAUGUGGGAAGGCCCAGACAGCCAGGAUGUUGGCUUAGAAGCAGCCAUCAUUUAAAGAAAGCGUAAUAGCUCACUGGUCGAGUCGGCCUGCGCGGAAGAUGUAACGGGGCUAAACCAUGCACCGAAGCUGCGGCAGCGAACGUAUCACUUAAAGCGAUUCAGCGGGUUACGAUUGACGGAGCGAAGCGACGUCAAAGCGUAUACAAAGUCGAGUCGGUUUAAGGAUACGUUCGUUGGGUAGGGGAGCGUUCUGUAAGCCUGUGAAGGUGUGUCGUGAGGCAUGCUGGAGGUAUCAGAAGUGCGAAUGCUGACAUAAGUAACGAUAAAGCGGGUGAAAAGCCCGCUCGCCGGAAGACCAAGGGUUCCUGUCCAACGUUAAUCGGGGCAGGGUGAGUCGACCCCUAAGGCGAGGCCGAAAGGCGUAGUCGAUGGGAAACGGGUUAAUAUUCCCGUACUUGGUGUUACUGCGAAGGGGGGACGGAGAAGGCUAUGUUGGCCGGGCGACGGUUGUCCCGGUUUAAGCGUGUAGGUGUGUGUUCCAGGUAAAUCCGGUUCACUUUAACACUGAGGCGUGACGACGAGGCACUACGGUGCUGAAGCAACAAAUGCCCUGCUUCCAGGAAAAGCCUCUAAGCAUCAGGUAACAUCAAAUCGUACCCCAAACCGACACAGGUGGUCAGGUAGAGAAUACCAAGGCGCUUGAGAGAACUCGGGUGAAGGAACUAGGCAAAAUGGUGCCGUAACUUCGGGAGAAGGCACGCUGACACGUAGGUGAAGUGAUUUACUCACGGAGCUGAAGUCAGUCGAAGAUACCAGCUGGCUGCAACUGUUUAUUAAAAACACAGCACUGUGCAAACACGAAAGUGGACGUAUACGGUGUGACGCCUGCCCGGUGCCGGAAGGUUAAUUGAUGGGGUCAGCGCAAGCGAAGCUCCUGAUCGAAGCCCCGGUAAACGGCGGCCGUAACUAUAACGGUCCUAAGGUAGCGAAAUUCCUUGUCGGGUAAGUUCCGACCUGCACGAAUGGCGUAAUGAUGGCCAGGCUGUCUCCACCCGAGACUCAGUGAAAUUGAACUCGCUGUGAAGAUGCAGUGUACCCGCGGCAAGACGGAAAGACCCCGUGAACCUUUACUAUAGCUUGACACUGAACAUUGAGCCUUGAUGUGUAGGAUAGGUGGGAGGCUUUGAAGUGUGGACGCCAGUCUGCAUGGAGCCGACCUUGAAAUACCACCCUUUAAUGUUUGAUGUUCUAACGUGGACCCGUAAUCCGGGUUGCGGACAGUGUCUGGUGGGUAGUUUGACUGGGGCGGUCUCCUCCUAAAGAGUAACGGAGGAGCACGAAGGUUGGCUAAUCCUGGUCGGACAUCAGGAGGUUAGUGCAAUGGCAUAAGCCAGCUUGACUGCGAGCGUGACGGCGCGAGCAGGUGCGAAAGCAGGUCAUAGUGAUCCGGUGGUUCUGAAUGGAAGGGCCAUCGCUCAACGGAUAAAAGGUACUCCGGGGAUAACAGGCUGAUACCGCCCAAGAGUUCAUAUCGACGGCGGUGUUUGGCACCUCGAUGUCGGCUCAUCACAUCCUGGGGCUGAAGUAGGUCCCAAGGGUAUGGCUGUUCGCCAUUUAAAGUGGUACGCGAGCUGGGUUUAGAACGUCGUGAGACAGUUCGGUCCCUAUCUGCCGUGGGCGCUGGAGAACUGAGGGGGGCUGCUCCUAGUACGAGAGGACCGGAGUGGACGCAUCACUGGUGUUCGGGUUGUCAUGCCAAUGGCACUGCCCGGUAGCUAAAUGCGGAAGAGAUAAGUGCUGAAAGCAUCUAAGCACGAAACUUGCCCCGA
rnacentral:rRNA from 1 species